UACGUAGGGUGCAAGCGUUAAUCGGAAUUACUGGGCGUAAAGCGUGCGCAGGCGGUUUCGUAAGUCUGACGUGAAAGCCCCGGGCUCAACCUGGGAAUUGCGUUGGAGACUGCAAGGCUUGAAUCUGGCAGAGGGGGGUAGAAUUCCACGUGUAGCAGUGAAAUGCGUAGAGAUGUGGAGGAACACCGAUGGCGAAGGCAGCCCCCUGGGUCAAGAUUGACGCUCUUGCACGAAAGCGUGGGGAGCAAACAGG
rnacentral:rRNA from 1 species